CAGAGUGAGACGCGCGCCUUCUCGAGGGGUUUCUCUCGUAAAGUUCGUACUUCCACGUCGUCAGACCCCCGUGCCGAAGGCGCACGCGGGCUCGCCUCAGGGGAGGGGCUGCCCACGCGGGUCGAGCUGUGCGUGCGCGCGUGUGUGUGGAACUUGGUCGUCCGCUCCUUGUGCCGUUGGAGGCGAAGGAACCGGGCGGGCUGGGAGUUUUAACGUGCCCGUUUUUGUGUUGCUUUUGCUGCCACUGUGAAAUUGGACGUGUCGCUGGAGAGCUGCGGCAUUCCCGCCGAAAUAUUUGCGGUCCGCAGCAGAGCGUUGAUGGCCUGCUCUGCUGGCAUUUGCCAUGCUCGCUGAAGGUUUAGUAAGUUAACCCAGUUUUAUAGAUUUUCACGACGCGGAGCAAUAAACUAAUCCUGGAAGCUGGGUGUGCCCAGUGGGUUUUUUAAAAAAACAAAACUACUACUACAUGGGCCGCUUGAAUCCAAAAAAUAACAUGAAACCAAUAAGCUGCAAUGAAGAACGCUGUGGAAAUGUAGCCAGCAUCUCUGAAGGAAUGAAUAGUGUUUCGACAUUACACUCCCCCCCCCAAGCAGCAGCAAUAGGCAGCCGUAUCCCGCCAAAAGUUUGUGGGAGUCAGCUGCAGACUUUAGUGUAAAUAGCUCUGUAAACGUCCCAAAGGUGCUUUUUUCAAAAGGUGACCUAGAUCAGGGGUCUGCAAACUUGGCUCUUUUAAGACUUGUGGACUUCAACUCCCAGAGCAAAGCUGGCUGAGGAACUCUGGGAGUUGAAGUCCACCAGUCAAAAGAGCCAAGAUUGCUGGCCCCUAACCUAGAUGAUUGAGAAUCUCCAUAGACAGCCCUGUAAACGAAAACUUCACUGCGAACAACCUCUCCCCCACCAGGUAGUUGGGAUUCAGGGAAGCCUUUAUACAGAAUGCACAUGAAUGCUUCGGUAUGUACACACACAGGCAGGGAUGUUUCUCCCCUGAUGCCAAAGUGUAACGUCUGAAUUGUUGAAACUGCUUAUGCAGUGAACCGUGGAAGGCAGGAAUGGGACUGGGCUCUGACUGCCAAAAUUAUUUUGGUCAGACUGCACACAAUAGUAAACAAUGGUAUUUUAAUAUACAGUACCAUGGAUGUUUUAAAUGUUUUGCUCUACUAUAUACCAUAUAAGCCACCAAAGGUUGACAGAUAUAUAACAGGUGAGUGCAUAUUAUUUCUAACAGCAGAAAAAAUAUCAAAUUAAAUCAGUUUGUAAUAUUGCAAGCAAUAUAUUCAGUAUUCUUAGAAUGCAUAGUUAAACAAGUCUCUUCAUUAAAAAAAUGUUUCUUGUGAUAUACACCCAGAAAAGGAAAGCAAAAGAUUUUAUGUUCACAUUAAACAAUGAUAUUUUAAAUUGAGUUUGCUGAGUUACUACAAUGUGAUACAUAGGGAUAAAAAACAAAACCUCCAUUCUAGGAGCUACUUAAACAGCUGAUAUACAGGUAGUCCUUAUGAUCACAAUUGAGCCCAAGAUUCCUGUUGCUAAGUAUUUGUUAAGUGAAUUUCCUUGCCACAGUUAGGUGAAAAACUGCAGGUUUGUUGAGUGAAUCUGGCUUCCCCAUUGACUUUGCUUAUCAGAUGGUCGCAAAAGGGGAUCACAUGACCCCGGGAACAUGGCAACCAUCAUAAAUAUGAAUCAGUUCCCAAGUGUCUGAAAUUUGGAUCACAUAAGCAUGGGAAUGGUGUAAAGAUCAUAAAUAUGAAAAACGGUCAUAAGUCACUUUUUUCAGUGCUGUUGUAACUUUGAAUGGUCACUAAGUGAACUGUUGUAAGUUGAGGACUACCUGUACAACAAUACCUUUCCUGAACGGCUCAGUUUUUAAGCAAGACUGACAUUAAGAGUAAAUGAAGAUAUCUUAGUUGCUUUAGCCUAGGAAAAGUGGCAAGAAAAGCAGCUUCUCUUAUUUACAAUUCUGUAGAGAUUGAUGCCCAAUUAUUCGUUAACAUGAAAGAAAAUAUUAAGGGAAAGAGGAAUACGUUGUUCUGCUUUUGUUUGGCUACUAAAUUGUGUUAUUCAUUUAAGUAUCUUGUAAGUAAUGAAUACUAUUGUAUUUGCAUUAUUUGCAUUGAUUUGAAAAUUUAAGUAUCUUUAGAUAUAAGCAGUUGGAUAAAAAAAUAAUGCAAACAAAUUUAAUGCCAGUAAGUUUUAAAAGUAAAAAAAAAAUGGUGGAUUUUUCUGUUGGCUAGACAUAGGCCUUCAAAUAAGCUUGCUUUAGUCGUUUUGGCUGGAAUUGGAGAUUUUUCCAUUUGUUGUGUCAUUGUGCAAUCUCAAAGUUACUUUUAAAGAGAAAGUAAAGAGAAGAGAAGGAAAACAAGAAACAAGAAAUUUUGCUCAACACAGGCAAGCCUUCUAGGAGCAUCUGUCCAACAUUCGCACGACUGUACAACAGGUCAGAUCCGUCCACGUGUCCCCUUGUUGCUUCUAUCUCAACUAUUGGGAAAAAUGAUACCUUGCAUAGCCAUUGUCCCUUGGGCAAGACUUCACUCUCGUCCCCUCCAGUGGCUUCUUUUACCCAGCCAAAGGACAGGCCUCAGCAGCUCCACCAAGCGGAUCAGGAUAAAUCCAACGGUUCACAAGUCCCUGGAAUGGUGGACAUCAGCAGCCAUAGAGAAGGGGAGUUCCUUCAGGGAACAUGUUGUGACCCAGGUUCCUGGACCCGGACUCCUGGACUCGGAUGAUUCAGAAAGUGAGGGAGAAGACCUGGCCAGCCCUGCUUCUCUUGAGCCCUUUCCCUCCCUGGCACCCACUCAAAGGGAUGGGGAGGGGCCGGCACAGCCUGAUUCCAUGGAGCCUCCUUCUGAUUUGGCAACGCCCCAAGAACAGUUUUGGAGCGAUGCAAGGUCACGUAGACGUAAUCGCCGUGCGCAGCAGCGGAAGAGUUGGGACAAAGCCAAGUCAUAAUUGUCAUGCAGUGACAUCUGCAGAGACUAUAAAU